UACGAAGGGGGCUAGCGUUGUUCGGAAUUACUGGGCGUAAAGCGCACGUAGGCGGAUUAGUAAGUCAGGGGUGAAAUCCCGGGGCUCAACCUCGGAACUGCCUUUGAUACUGCUGAUCUCGAGUCCGGAAGAGGUGAGUGGAAUUCCGAGUGUAGAGGUGAAAUUCGUAGAUAUUAGGAAGAACACCAGUGGCAAAGGCGACUCACUGGUCAAGUACUGACGCUGAGGUGCGAAAGCGUGGGCAGCAAUCAGG
rnacentral:rRNA from 1 species